rnacentral:rRNA from 1 species
GAUGAACGCUGGCGGCGUGCCUAAUACAUGCAAGUCGAGCGAACGGACGAGAAGCUUGCUUCUCUGAUGUUAGCGGCGGACGGGUGAGUAACACGUGGAUAACCUACCUAUAAGACUGGGAUAACUUCGGGAAACCGUAGCUAAUACCGGAUAAUAUUUUGAACCGCAUGGUUCAAAAGUGAAAGACGGUCUUGCUGUCACUUAUAGAUGGAUCCGCGCUGCAUUAGCUAGUUGGUAAAGUAACGGCCUACCAAGGCAACGAUGCAUAGCCGACCUGAGAGGGUGAUCGGUCACACUGGAACUGAGACACGGUCCAGACUCCUACGGGAGGCAGCAGUAGGGAAUCUUCCGCAAUGGGCGAAAGCCUGACGGAGCAACGCCGCGUGAGUGAUGAAGGUCUUCGGAUCGUAAAACUCUGUUAUUAGGGAAGAACAUAUGUGUAAGUAACUGUGCACAUCUUGACGGUACCUAAUCAGAAAGCCACGGCUAACUACGUG